AUACGUAGGGGGCAAGCGUUGUCCGGAAUUACUGGGUGUAAAGGGAGCGCAGGUGGGAUGGAAAGUUGGAUGUUUAAUCUACGGGCUCAACCCGUAUCAGCAUUCAAAACUAUCAUUCUUGAGUGGAGUAGAGGCAGGCGGAAUUCCAGGUGUAGCGGUGGGAUGCGUAGAUAUCUGGAGGAACACCAGUGGCGAAGGCGGCCUGCAGGGCUCUAACUGACACUGAGGCUCGAAAGCGUGGGUAGC
rnacentral:rRNA from 1 species